AGCUCCAAUAGCGUAUAUUAAAGUUGUUGCAGUUAAAAAGCUCGUAGUUGGAUUUCUGGCAGGAGCGGCCGGUCACACACUCUGUGUGUGAACUUGCGCUGUCUCUGGCCAUCCUUGGGGAGAUCCUGUUUGGCAUUAAGUUGUCGGGCAGGGGAUACCCAUCGUUUACUGUGAAAAAAUUAGAGUGUUUAAAGCAGGCUUAUGCCGUUGAAUAUAUUAGCAUGGAAUAAUAAGAUAGGACUUCGGAACUAUUUUGUUGGUUUGCGUUACGAAGUAAUGAUUAAUAGGGACAGUUGGGGGUAUUCGUAUUUCGUUGUCAGAGGUGAAAUUCUUGGAUUUCCGAAAGACGAACUACUGCGAAAGCAUUUACCAAGGAUGUUU
rnacentral:rRNA from 1 species